ACACAAGUUCGUGAGUUCCGAGGAUUUACGCUGUAGUAGAACUCUUUCCAUUGUCUGUUUGGUACUUUGGUUCACACCCACAUCCAACACACAUGAAUGAGGCAUGCAGAGAGAUAAGGGUUUCUUUGAGGGUGGUUGACCCUCUCUGCUACGCCAUUGAUUUCAUCUCCAAAAGAAUUCAACAGCCCUCUUUCAUGGAAUUGAAGUUGAAGUAUGGAUAAUGCAACAUUAACAUACCCCCAAAUCUCAGGGUUUAGCCCUCAGAUUUCGUGGUUCUGAAGCUGACGCUCUCUUUCUUUCUGAGCUUCUUUACAAUUUCAAUCAAUUUUCCCUGAAACAACAAUAACAACAAUAAUAAUAUCCUUUUCUUUUCUUUUUUUUGGUAAUCCUGAUUCAUGAGGCUGUGAUGAUACUGUUCUCUUUUCAAUCUGAGCGGAUUUAUCGGGCAUGGGCCGAUCCGACCCGUAUCUUGGCGGGGCAAACAUGCUACCCGGCUUCUUUGCAGCCAUGGCGGUGUAGGAAUAACCCUCUGCCCAGCACUAAAUCUGAGCCUCGAUCAUCGUAAGCCCAGUCGGAAUCGAAUCGGCGACAGAGAUGACCCGUAGCUUGGGGGAUUUUGCUGCCAUGGUUGCGUGGUUCAGAUCUGGGCAGUAUUGGUGGAAGUUUUGAUGGAAUACGCCCCCCUAGGGCUGCGAUUAGUUCAACAAGGCUGUGAUGAUGUUUUGAAGUUCAAAUCUGAGCCUCACAGCUGCAGUAGCUAUGCUGAUGAUUGCAUGGAUCGAACCUGGGUCUCUUGGUUUAUAAAACCUGUUCUGAUGUCUUUUUUGGUUGGAUUUUCAGCUGAAAAGAAUGGUAAUUUCAGUGGUAAGUAGCCAUGUCCUCAUGGUCUCGUGUUUUUCAUCAUUACCAUAAAUCAGUAGUCCUCUUUUGUGAUUCCAGAGGAUAAUGUGUAUAUUCAUAUACUUUAAUUUACCAGAAAGUCCACCAGAGUAGAGUACUCUACUCAGGGCUCGUAUUUGGGUAAACAAACCUAGGGCGUUCAUAACUGAUCUUUUCUGUUUAAAAGUCAAACUCUAUAUAUUUACAUGCAUAUAUAUAUAUAGUUAAGUGUUGCUGUGGAGAUAUGCAACUGUGGUUUCUUGAUGGCCAUGGGCCAAUGGUGUGGGGUGCUUAUCAAUUUGUUUGGCAUGCUUGUGAAAUCUCUGUUGUGAGAAUGAGGCAUGCAGAGAGAUAAGGGUUUUUUGGAGGGCGGUUGACCCUCUCUGCUUUGCCAUUGAUUUCAUCUCCAAAAGAAUUCAACAGCCCCCUUUCUUGGAAUUGAAAUGGAUAAUGUUACAUAGUACAUGCCUGAUGCCCUUCCAAAUAUCAGGGUUUAGCCCUCAGAUUUUGUGGUUUUGAAGCUGACGCUCUCAUUCUUUCCGGUCUUUUUACCAUUUCCUCAAUUUCCCCUGAAACAACAAUAAUAAUAUCUGUUUUCUUUUGGUAAUCCUGAUUCAUGAGGCUGUGAUGAUUAUAUUCUCUUUCUCUCUCAGCAAAUUUAUCGGGCAUGGGUUGAUCCGACCCGUAUCUUGGUGGGGCAAACACGCUACCCGGCUUGUUUGCAGCCAUGGCGGUGUAGGAAUAACCCUCUGCCCAGCAGCAAAUCUGAGCCUCACGUAUGAUCAUUGAUGGUUGGUCUAUCGGAAGCCCAGUCUGAAUCAAAUAGGCGACAGAGAUGACCCGUAGCUUGGCGGAUUUUGCAGCCAUGGUUGCGUGGUCAGGUUCUGUGGUUCAGAUCUGGGCAGUAUUGGUGGAAGACGAUGAAAAUCUUGAUGGAAUACACCCCCUAAGGCUGCUUUUAGUUCAACAAGGCUGUGAUGAUAUUUUGAAGCUCGAAUCUGAGCCUUUCAACUGCAGUAGUUCUGCUGAUGAUUCCGUGAAUCGAACUGGGACCUUGUGGUUUAUAAAACCUGUUCCGUUGUCUGUUUUGGCUGGAUUUUCAGCUGAAAAGAAUGGAAACUUCAAUGCUGAGAUUUCUUGAUGGUGUGAGGUGCCUAUCAAUUUGUUUGGCAUCUUGUGAAAUCUCUAUUGUGAGAAUGAUGCUCAAGUUCAGAGAGGCAUGGGAGUUCUUAAGGGUGGUUGCCCCUCUCUGUAAUAUAGCCACUGAUUUCAUCACUAUCAGCAAAUCUCAAAACCGCCCUUGUAAGUGUGAAUUUAUGUACGCAGAUAGAUGUUGAGCAUAUAAUAUAAACUAUAAACAUGUUGUCUGCCUAUUAGCUUAAACUUUAGCCGAGACAGAACAUAUCUUCAUUCUUCGAUUAUAUACAUAUACUGAUUUGAACUAAGCGCCCCCUUAAUUGUGUGCUUCCGGUAGAAAAUAGUUGCAUCUCCUUCACUAGUCUUAAUUCGUUUGCCACUGAAAAGGGGAGAAAGAAACUUGCAAUACUGAAGAGGCUGUGACGAUAUCUUUUUUAGCAAUGAUAAUUGUUGGAAAAAAGACUUUGGGCUAUUCUAAUAGCUUGGCUUGGCAACUCAGAAGGUCUGAGUGAUGGAGGAAGAGUAAAAGUUGAGCCUAAGCGUUUCUUCUUAAAUUCUUUCUCCAUUUUUCUUUAGGCAACUGUUGUUAGCAGCCUGGCAGUUUAGCUUGCUUUCUUGAUUAUAUAGGCGAAAAUCUGAGCCUCCUUCUAUAAAGCAAAUACAUUCUGUGUUUCCACAAUGACAAUAGGAUCUUUUGUUGUGGUAGUAUUUCUUUGGAUACUUCUAUCAUGUAAAAUUUAGGAUUGAAGUGAACUGAAUAUUGAUCAAGUACUUGAGUUGGUAUUGACAGAUUGCGUAUAGACCCUAAUGAAUCCAAAAAAAUCUCAUUUUCAACUUUUUAUUGCUUCUCCCGAGGUCACGUUGCACGCCAUAAACCCAAAAAGGAGAAAACAAAGAGCUACAGCAAGAUCUUUACAGGAUUCAAGACAGUGUUCAAUAUCGAGGCUUCUUUGUUUAUGCAGGCUGCUUAAACUCGACCCUUGCAGUCUUCCUGGAGUCAAAAGUCAAAACUCAUUACUUGGGUUGUGCUUCCAACACUUGAACACACACUUGACUAUGUGCACUCUAACCAAUAUAUUCACUUCAAGUUGAAGAUGUGAUGUUUGAAGGGCAAAAUGGGAAUCUGAAGAUCAUGAAAUGAAGAGCAAGCAGACACGUGCAAGUGGAUGUAGGGUCAGCUCAGAGAACAAUGCACACUUAACACAAUUACCCAACACCCCUUGUAGAGCUUUGGAAUUUCAUUUUGGUCCCUAUUGUAUUGUUUCGUUUUAUAUAAUUUUUUAACUUUGUUGUUACUAUUUUUCUAUGUAUCCAAAAAAAAAAGCAAAUAAACAUUUAUCAAA